UACGUAGGGGGCAAGCGUUGUCCGGAAUCAUUGGGCGUAAAGAGCGUGUAGGCGGCCCGAUAAGUCCGCUGUGAAAGUCCAGGGCUCAACCCUGGGAUGCCGGUGGAUACUGUCGGGCUCGAAUCCGGAAGAGGUGGGUGGAAUUCCUGGUGUAGCGGUGAAAUGCGCAGAUAUCAGGAGGAACACCAAUGGCGAAGGCAGCUCACUGGGACGGUAUUGACGCUGAGACGCGAAAGCGUGGGGAGCAAACAGG
rnacentral:rRNA from 1 species